UACGGAGGGUGCAAGCGUUAUCCGGAUUCACUGGGUUUAAAGGGUGCGUAGGCGGGCAGGUAAGUCAGUGGUGAAAUCUCAGAGCUUAACUCUGAAACUGCCAUUGAUACUAUCUGUCUUGAAUGUUCUGGAGGUGAGCGGAAUAUGUCAUGUAGCGGUGAAAUGCUUAGAUAUCGAGAGGAACACCUGCGGCGAAGGCGGGUUGCUGGGCUGACACUGACGCUGAGGCGCGAAAGCCAGGGGAGCGAACGGG
rnacentral:rRNA from 1 species